UACGUAGGGGGCGAGCGUUGUCCGGAGUUACUGGGCGUAAAGGGCGUGCAGGCGGUGCGGUAAGUUUAGCGUGACAGUCUCCGGCUUAACUGGAGAAGGCCGCUGAAAACUGCUGGACUUGAGGGCCAGAGAGGGACAUAGAAUUCCGGGUGGAGUGGUGAAAUGCGUAGAUAUCCGGAGGAAUACCAAGGCGAAGGCAGUGCCUGGCUGGCAACUGACGCUGAGGCGCGAAAGCUAGGGGAGCGAGCAGG
rnacentral:rRNA from 1 species